rnacentral:lncRNA from 1 species
CCUCUCCAACUUACAGCCCAAGUUCACCCGGUUAUAGCCCAACAAGUCCUACCUACUCACCCACUUCACCUAGCUACUCCCCUACCUCACCAAGCUACUCACCCACAUCACCUAGCUACAGCCCUACAUCGCCAGCUUACAGCCCGACCUCUCCGGCUUACAGCCCGACCUCUCCUUCCUACAGCCCGACAUCACCAUCCUACAGCCCAACCUCACCCUCCUACAGCCCAACCUCACCCUCUUACAGCCCGACCUCUCCUUCCUACAGCCCAACAUCACCAUCCUACAGCCCGACCUCCCCUUCCUACAGCCCAACCUCCCCUGCUUACAGCCCAACUUCACCUGGGUACAGUCCUACUUCCCCAAGCUACAGUCCUACUUCUCCAAGUUACAGUCCCACCUCACCAAGUUACAACCCUUCAUCCGCUAAGUACAGCCCCUCGUUGGCUUAUUCUCCUAGUAGUCCAUACAGCCCUACAUCCCCCAACUAC